AACACACAUGAUUUAUACACUACAGACUGUAAAGGUACGGUAUAGUAAACACACAUGAUUUAUACACUACAGACUGUAAAGGUACGGUAUAGUAAACACACAUGAUUUAUACACUACAGACUGUAAAGGUACGGUAUAGUAAACACACAUGAUUUAUACACUACAGACUGUAAAGGUACGGUAUAGUAAACACACAUGAUUUAUACACUACAGACUGUAAAGGUACGGUAUAGUAAACACACAUGAUUUAUACGCUACAGACUGUAAAGGUACGGUAUAGUAAACACACAUGAUUUAUACACUACAGACUGUAAAGGUACGGUAUAGUAAACACACAUGAUUUAUACACUACAGACUGUAAAGGUACGGUAUAGUAAACACACAUGAUUUAUACACUACAGACUGUAAAGGUACGGUAUAGUAAACACACAUGAUUUAUACACUACAGACUGUAAAGGUACGGUAUAGUAAACACACAUGAUUUAUACGCUACAGACUGUAAAGGUACGGUAUAGUAAACACACAUGAUUUAUACACUACAGACUGUAAAGGUACGGUAUAGUAAACACACAUGAUUUAUACACUACAGACUGUAAAGGUACGGUAUAGUAAACACACAUGAUUUAUACACUACAGACUGUAAAGGUACGGUAUAGUAAACACACAUGAUUUAUACGCUACAGACUGUAAAGGUACGGUAUAGUAAACACACAUGAUUUAUACACUACAGACUGUAAAGGUACGGUAUAGUAAACACACAUGAUUUAUACACUACAGACUGUAAAGGUACGGUAUAGUAAACACACAUGAUUUAUACACUACAGACUGUAAAGGUACGGUAUAGUAAACACACAUGAUUUAUACACUACAGACUGUAAAGGUACGGUAUAGUAAACACACAUGAUUUAUACGCUACAGACUGUAAAGGUACGGUAUAGUAAACACACAUGAUUUAUACACUACAGACUGUAAAGGUACGGUAUAGUAAACACACAUGAUUUAUACACUACAGACUGUAAAGGUACGGUAUAGUAAACACACAUGAUUUAUACACUACAGACUGUAAAGGUACGGUAUAGUAAACACACAUGAUUUAUACACUACAGACUGU